UAGGGAAUUUUCGUCAAUGGGCGCAAGCCUGAACGAGCAAUGCCGCGUGAACGAGGAAGGUCUUCGGAUCGUAAAGUUCUGUUGAAGGGGAAAAAGAGCGGAGAGAGGAAAUGCUUUCUGAUUGAUAUUACCCUUCGAGGAAGUCACGGCUAACUACGUGCC
rnacentral:rRNA from 1 species